rnacentral:rRNA from 1 species
AUUGAACGCUGGCGGCAGGCCUAACACAUGCAAGUCGAACGAUUGGCGGACGUGUGAAUAAUGUCUGGGAACCUGCCUCAAGGAGGGGGAUAACUACUGGCAACGGUAGCUCAUACCCCAUACCAUCGCAUGUGCACAGACGGGAUUAGCUAGUAGGUGGGGUAAAGGCUCACCACGGCGACGAUCCCUAGCUGGUCUGAGCGGAUGACCAGCCACACUGGAACUGAGACACGGUCCAGACUCCUACGGGAGGCAGCAGUGGGGAAUAUUGCACAAUGGGCGCAAGCCUGAUGCAGCAAUGCCGCGUGUAUGAAGAAGGCCUUCGGGUUGUAAAGUACUUUCAGCGGGGAGGCGUUACCCGCAGAAGAAGCACCGGCUAACUCCGUGCCAGCAGCCGCGGUAAUUC